rnacentral:rRNA from 1 species
GACGAACGCUGGCGGCGUGCCUAAUACAUGCAAGUCGAACGAACGGAUAAAGAGCUUGCUCUUUUGAAGUUAGUGGCGGACGGGUGAGUAACACGUGGGUAACCUGCCUCACAGCUGGGGAUAACAUCGAGAAAUCGAUGCUAAUACCGAAUGUGCUGAACAUCCUAAGAGGUUCAAGUGAAAGACGGUUUCUGCUGUCACUGUGAGAUGGACCCGCGCUGGAUUAGCUAGUUGGUAAGGUAAUGGCUUACCAAGGCGACGAUCCAUAGCCGACCUGAGAGGGUGAUCGGCCACACUGGGACUGAGACACGGCCCAAACUCCUACGGGAGGCAGCAGUAGGGAAUCUUCGGCAAUGGGCGAAAGUCUGACCGAGCAACGCCGCGUGAGCGAAGAAGGCCUUCGGGUCGUAAAGCUCUGUUGUUAGAGAAGAACAUGUGUGAGAGUAACUGUUCACCUCUUGACGGUAUCUAACCAGAAAGCCACGGCUAACUACGUG